UACGAAGGGGGAGCUAGCGUUGCUCGGAAUCACUGGGCGUAAAGGGUGCGUAGGCGGGUCUUUUAAGUCAGGGGUGAAAUCCUGGAGCUCAACUCCAGAACUGCCUUUGAUACUGAAGAUCUUGAGUUCGGGAGAGGUGAGUGGAACUGCGAGUGUAGAGGUGAAAUUCGUAGAUAUUCGCAAGAACACCAGUGGCGAAGGCGGCUCACUGGCCCGAUACUGACGCUGAGGCACGAAAGCGUGGGGAGCAAACAGG
rnacentral:rRNA from 1 species